CAAUCGAUUCAAUCGACUUUAGCCAAUCCCCUCAAUCUUCCAAAAUUUAAGGAAAAUUUGCACUUGUUCAUCCCGGACAUUCUUCCGUGGGUAAUCAUGGAGAAGAACUUACCCAUGACUGAUCAGCUGCAUUUUGAAUCAGUAUGUACCUGAAAGGUUUUCGUCAAAAUGAUGUAAUUUCGGCGUGCGGACUAAUAAAUGGACUGAGAAAAUUGAAAGAUAAUGUUAUAUCUUCUAUCAUUUACACGAUUUGGGGCAGCUGCUCAUCUUCAACUAUCGAGAGGGGUGCAGAUAACGGCAAGAUCGGCGAAUUUUUCUAUAUAUCAACUCUGAUUGCAGCAAA